GCAUUAAUGGGGUAGUGGUAACCUGGGUCGUUGCCAUUCGAGUUCAAGCUCGACCCGCCGGGGGUUCGAUUCCCCCUUAAUGCA
rnacentral:tRNA from 1 species